AGAGAGAGGGGUCCCCCACCUCUAAUAAAGGCCAUUUUGCAAAUAGCCCCCUCAACUUUUCACCCUCUGAACCAGCCCUCUCUGGGCAUUUUCGCAGUGAGGGACCGGUCCCAGCUCGGGGAGACCGGUCCCCGAAGGCUGCCAUUUCGAGCAGAGGGAAUUUCGCGUUCGGGAACCGGUCCUUGCCUGAGAGACCGGUCCCCGGGAGAUCGGUCCUUGUCCGAGAGACCGGUUCCCGAAAGCUGAGUUUUCGGGACUUAGCCAAAUUUCGGCUAUUUUCGUUGGGCCAACGUUCGGGAACCGGUCCCUGCCUGCCAGGGACCGGUCUCAUCAGAGACCCCCGCAGCCCAGCCUGAUGGAACCGAUCCCUCUCUGCCAGGGACCGGUCCUCG
rnacentral:lncRNA from 1 species